UACGAACCGUGCGAACGUUGUUCGGAAUUACUGGGCGUAAAGGGCGCGUAGGCGGCCUACUAAGUCGGACGUGAAAUCCCUCGGCUCAACCGGGGAACUGCGUCCGAUACUGGUGGGCUCGAAUCCGGGAGAGGGAUGUGGAAUUCCAGGUGUAGCGGUGAAAUGCGUAGAUAUCUGGAGGAACACCGGUGGCGAAGGCGGCAUCCUGGACCGGUAUUGACGCUGAUGCGCGAAAGCCAGGGGAGCAAACGGG
rnacentral:rRNA from 1 species